UGGCCCCAAAGUUGGGCUCCCAUUAGGGUGGGUAGGACAGUAUCUAGAGACAUUGAAGUGAUAAUAAUAACUGAUUUGUGGCCUUAUCAACAGCCCCGGGCUGCAGUGAGAAGCAGGAGCAGCUUUCAGCCACCAGUAGUGGGAAGCUGAGGAGCUGGAACUGAGGAAGCAGAGCUGGAGCAGACAGAAACAUGGUGAUUUCCAGGAGCAAACAAAAGGCGAUAGUCAAGGUGCUAGUGAACUGGUGUUAAAAGACAAAUUCUUCAUUGUCAAUCCAGCUACCAUCCUUGUUCAGUUAAACUCUGCAACAGAUCUCCCACAAAGUUGUGUCCUGCUGUUGCUGCUUCUGAAGGAUCAUGGAAUC